rnacentral:rRNA from 1 species
UACGUAGGGGGCAAGCGUUGUCCGGAUUUACUGGGCGUAAAGCGCACGUAGGCGGCUUGGUAUGUCGGGUGUGAAAUCCCCGGGCUCAACCUGGGAACUGCAUCCGAAACUGCCUUGCUCGAGUAUGGGAGAGGGAAGUGGAAUUUCCGGUGUAGCGGUGAAAUGCGUAGAUAUCGGAAAGAACACCAAUGGCGAAAGCACUCUGCUGGGCCGACACUGACACUGAGAGACGAAAGCUAGGGGAGCAAAUGGG